GGCGUGGCUCCUCGCCCCAGGAGUUCCGGGGCAUUGAACCCUGAAGGUCUGCUCCGAGUCGGUCGGGUCCGAAGCGCUCCUCUCUGCCCUCGGGGAGGCCCCGAAGCCCCAGACCUGGCAGCCCUUCCUGGAGUUGCACAGACCCACCUGGCUCCUCCUCCCCGAGGGACCUGGAGGACUUAACCAUACCCUCGGUCAUCCAUUCACCAUUCCUCGCCCUCCUCCAUAACACACGCGGAGCGCCCACGAGGAGCACCCUCUACGCUAGUCACACUCCGCCGAGCAGUAGGAAGACUCUGUCCCCAUAGAGCAUAGCACGACGAAGCUAAACUUUCCUCCCCACCCCUCGCCAAGGGACAGGCGAAGCUCCUACUCAGAAUUUGUCUCUUUUCUCCCCUCCCGGUUCCUGGUCUCCUCACAAAAGACCAGACUUCAACUCAAGCCGCCACCGUAUCCCAAAACCCCAAAGGUUUGCCCUUGACAAGAAGCUUCUUCAAGGGGAAAGGCUUUCUUUUGAUUGGGGUGAGGGAGGAGUUAGUGUUUCCUAAUGAACGUAACCAAAUGUCGGCCUGGCACAGUGGCUCACGCUUGUAACCCCGGCACUUUGGGAGGCCGAGGCAGGUGGAUCAUCUGAGGUCAGGAGUUGGAGACCAGCCUGGCCAACAUGGUGAAACCCCGCCUCUUCUAACAAUACAAAAAUUAGCUGGGCGUGGUGGCGGGCG
rnacentral:lncRNA from 10 species